AUGGCGAUUGCGGCGGGGGAAGGGGAGUCGUCUGCGGAGACGCGAGGGAGAAUGGGGGCGGGGAGAGAUGGUGGAGGGAUGGCGGCGCAGGGCGGAGGCACUGCAUCCUCCAAGGAGCUGUCAUGCGGCCGGCUUGGUGAAAUGAAGAGACUGGCUAAUUCAUGCACACAGGCAGGAGCAUAUAGCACUGUACUGUCAGCCAUUACAGGAACCUGCAGCAAGACCAGCUGGAGCGAGGCAGCUCUGAACAGUUCACACAGCACUUUGAAGCAAACCUCUGUGUCAAGCUUAGGAAACAGAUGUGCAGAAGGUGAGCGGAGUUGUCCAAGACUGCCCAGUAAACUGGUGGUAAAACAGAUAGGAAACCUGAUGCCUCCCACUGCCAAAUGGAAUUCACUUGUCACAUACAAGGUCUCACUGCCAGGAGCUGGAGAUACCACAUUCCCACGACACCUGAUUGCAGUUCUUCAAGCUCUGGGCUUUCACACCUUUAAAAUGGGAUCCAGUGUCUCCUAUUAUUUGCCUACAUCCAUCCACUCCAGUUGCCUGUGAUCACAGUUGGUUCUGGCUCAGCAGGCUUCCUGUUGGGAGCCGUAUGGUUCUGCUCUGAUAACAGGUUCUCAAAGCAAGAUAUUGUUAAUUUGAACACAAUCAUAAACUAUGAAAGGAAAACCUCUCCUCUAGUCUCUACUGGUAAUAUGACAAAUGUUUUUGCUCACCCAAGCACUCAGUGGAGCCUGUCUUCUAUGUGUUUCAGCUCCACAAAGGUACUCCAUUUCCCAUAUCUCCAAGGAGGUGCUUUUUGAUCCUUUGGCCCAAAUUCUCAGCCAAAAUCCCCCUUACAGCCUAGAAGUAGCAUUUUCCCAGGGAUUUUAUCAAGUUACUGCAUGUUAGUGACUAAGAGUGCAUAUAUAAAGCUAAGACAAUACCUUUGAAGCUGAUUUCCUGAUUUAUUUAUUUAUUUAUUUAAUAUUUUCUAUUCCUCUUCAGUUUUCCUUUAUAACUUCCCAUAUGGAGGUAAUGAAAUUAUUGGCAGCCCAAUAUAGCCCUGCAAAACUUCCUCUUUUGCUAGUCUUUAGCAUCACUGAUGAACUCCUGAUCCUUUACAGCGUUUUUGUUUUAGUGUUUGUUAUGGUUAUAGCGUAAUUUAGUGACUGGAAAUCAGAAUAAGGUUAUGAAAUUCACUUUUGCUGAGUUCCCCCAAAGCUAUCAUCAAACUCCCCAUCUCUGAAUCAUUGACAUACAAGAGAACUGCUCAGUGCUGCAUCCCCUAAUUCUUACUGUUAUCAGUCUCCAUUGUGUAAAGAAGCUCACAAAGGCAGACAUUCAUCUAAUAUUCCCAUUAGAACAAUCCUACUAAUACAAGUGAUUUAAGUGUAGACUUUUGUUGUAGAAAUAAUAGCUUAAGUGGAGGUGGAACCUCCUCUAUACAUCUUUCUUUUUUUUCUUUUGAUAUCUAGGGCCUACACUGUGUGAUAUGUCACAGGGAAUAUCGGUGUAACUGCAUAUUGUAAUUUGCUUGCAGUAAGUGUCGUUCAGUGUAUCAAUGAAAUAUGUGACAGUGGUAGGAACAUGGAAAUAAUAUGUUUUUAUGAUCUAGCAGACUUUUUUUUUUAUCAAGUUGUUUGAGUUUCAUUUGUUAGUGGAGUAAUACCAUCACAAGAAACACUGCAUAACCAAUACUGCAUCCAAAGUGAAAGUGUUACUUAAAACUUAUUCUUUUUAAAAGAAAGUCUUCCCAGAAAAGGCUUCUUUGUGUGAGCACACAGGCAUCUGUAUGCUCAACAACUCCCAUCCACAUCCUUCCACCUCUGCUAGCAUUUGAGUAGUUGUGAGUGAUGGAGUCUACAAAUGAAAAUAUCAGGCGGAAAGUAAUUCUGAAAAUAAUGUAGACACUGUAGUUGAAUCUGAGAGAGAUUACACUGUAUGUGUACGUCUGUGUGUCUGUGUGUAUGAAAGAAAGUGAGCGUGAGAGAGAUUACAUUGUGUUGGGAAAAGGAACAACAGUACGUAUUAGAGAGAGAUAAAAUCGUGUUUUCAGGGCCUCUGUGUUUCAAAGAUUUCAUUGUGCAGACGUUUGUACCUGUGCUUUUGCUGAGAAAUAUUUAUUUGUGUUUCUAGAGAGGGUGAGAUUACACUGUGUACGUGCAUUUUGUGAAUGCAGUGUGUUAUAGUAUGCACAUGUGUAUGUGUGUAUACAAAAGAGAGAGCCUGCACUGUGCUCGUUAAAAAGAGGAAAGGCCAUGUAUCCUAGAAGAAAGACAGUGUGUGUCUAUUACACAAAAUGAAAAUGUGUAAGUAUAAAAUAACCAGCUUGUAUAUGUGCAUACAAGUUCAUAUGUAUUUUAGAUAAUUUUAAAAUUCUAUUGCAAUUUUUUUUUUUACAAUAGAAAUCACUGUAGAGGUUUAGAAAUAUUUUUUCAAAAUUGUGGAAUGUCCUGGACUUUUUUUUUCACUUUUUCACUCAAAGCACUUAGGCUUUUAAUAGUUACUAUUAAAAUGCUUGUUGAAGAUUCAAAAUGAUACCUAGGAAUAUGCAACUUAUAAAAUUCCUGCCUUAGAAGAGUCAACUGGAGCAAUUGUUUGGUUCAUUGAUAAACAACGCUUGGAGCUAACAGAAAAAUAAAAAAUCAUCAGAAGUUGUAUUUUGUCCUAAG
rnacentral:lncRNA from 1 species